rnacentral:rRNA from 3 species
GUCGAAGACUACGACGUUGAUAGGUUGGGUGUGUAAGCGCUGUGAGGCGUUGAGCUAACCAAUACUAAUUGCCCGUGAGGCUUGACCAUAUAACACCCAAGCAAUU